CCGAGUUAUACAACUCCCAAACCCCUGUGAACAUACCUAAACUGUUGCCUUCGGCGGAAUCAGCCCGGCCCUGUAACAACGGGCCGCCCCGCCAGAGGACCCCUAACUCUGUUUCUAUAUGUACUUUCUGAGUAAACCAGCAAUAAAUA
rnacentral:misc_RNA from 1 species